AACGAACGCUGGCGGCAGGCCUAAAACAUGCAAGUCGAACGAACCUUCGGGUUAGUGGCGCACGGGUGAGUAACGCGUGGGAAUGUGCCUCUGGGUGCGGAACAACGUCGGGAAACUGACGCUAAUACCGCAUAAUGUCUUCGGACCAAAGAUUUAUCGCCCAGAGAUCAGCCCGCGUUAGAUUAGGUAGUUGGUGGGGUAAUGGCCUACCAAGCCUACGAUCUAUAGCUGGUCUGAGAGGAUGAUCAGCCACACUGGAACUGAGACACGGUCCAGACUUCUACGGGAGGCAGCAGUUAGGAAUAUUGGACAAUGGGCGCAAGCCUGAUCCAGCCAUGCCGCGUGUGUGACGAAGGCCUUAGGGUUGUAAAGCACUUUCGUCCGCGAAGAUAAUGACAGUAACGGAAGAAGAAGCUCCGGCUAAAUUCGUGCCAGCCGCCGCUGUAA
rnacentral:rRNA from 1 species